UACGUAGGGUGCAAGCGUUAAUCGGAAUUACUGGGCGUAAAGCGUGCGCAGGCGGUGAUGUAAGACAGGUGUGAAAUCCCCGGGCUUAACCUGGGAACUGCAUUUGUGACUGCAUUGCUGGAGUGCGGCAGAGGGGGAUGGAAUUCCGCGUGUAGCAGUGAAAUGCGUAGAUAUGCGGAGGAACACCGAUGGCGAAGGCAAUCCCCUGGGCCUGCACUGACGCUCAUGCACGAAAGGGUGGGGAGCAAACAGG
rnacentral:rRNA from 1 species